rnacentral:rRNA from 1 species
GACGUGGGGCUCACACCGGACGGACCUGUUUAGUGAACAAAUUAGUUGUUUGGUACCCUGCCCGCGCCCCCUUUUUUAAUCAUUUGCCUUAUAAUUGAAGGCUUGCACGCCCGGGCUGACGAAAGCAAUACUGUCUCUUCUUUAUUAUCUAGAAAUUAACCUAUGGGUGAAGAGGCCUAUAUUAUAUUGAAGGACAAGAAGACCCUGUCGAGCUUUAGAGUAAAGCAGGAAUAUAAGUAUUAAAAAAAAUCAAUGACUACAUAACUCUUUAGUUGGGGCGACUAAGGAACAAAUAAAGCUUCUUUUAGUUUUUUAGAUCAAUAAAUUUAGAUCCAGCAAAGCUGAUUAAAAGAAUUAGUUACCGCAGGGAUAACAGCAUAAUCUCUCUAGAGAGACCUAAUCGAAAGAGGGGGUUGUGACCUCGAUGUUGGACUAAAAUAUCCUGAAGAUGCAGACGUCUUCGAAGGUUGGUCUGUUCGACCAUUAAAAUUUUACGUGAUCUGAGUUCAGACCGGACCCCCCCUGU